CUACGGGCUGCUGCAGUGAGGAAUUUUGCGCAAUGGGGGAAACCCUGACGCAGCAACGCCGCGUGAGUGAAGAAGGCUUUCGGGUCGUAAAGCUCUGUCAGAUAGGAAAAAAGUUCAUAUGUAAAUAGCUUAUGAAUCUGAUGGUACUAUCAGAGGAAGCACCGGCUAACUCCGUGCCAGCAGCCGCGGUAAUACGGAGGGUGCAAGCGUUGUUCGGAAUUACUGGGCGUAAAGGGCGUGUAGGCGGUAUGGUAAGUCAGAUGUGAAAGCCCUGGGCUUAACUCAGGAAGUGCAUUUGAUACUGCCAUCCUUGAGUAUGGGAGAGGAGAGUAGAAUUCCCAGUGUAGAGGUGAGAUUCGUAGAUAUUGGGAGGAAUACCCGUGGCGAAGGCGACUCUCUGGACCAAUACUGACACUGAGACGCGAAAGCGUGGGGAGCAAACAGGAUUAGAUACCCCUGUAGUC
rnacentral:rRNA from 1 species